rnacentral:lncRNA from 13 species
AAAAGCUUUCUCUCAUUAAGCUUGGUACAUAUUGGGUGUCUUAGUCUAUUGGACUGCUGUAACAAAGUAUCUUAUACUGGGUACUCUUGCUCAUGGUUCUGGAGGCUGGGAAGUCCAAGAUGUGCCAACAGAUUUAGUGUCUGGUCUUCCUAUUCCUUGAGACACAGCAACAUUGAAAUUACGGCAAAUAAUAACCCUACAAUGUCCUCGAAGUAUUCAAGUGAAAGAAAGAAUGGCACAUCUUUCACUUUAAAUGAAAGACCAGGAAUGAUUAGGCUUAAUGAGGAAGAUUGCCAUAGCCACCCCAACUUUUAAUAACCACCACCCUGAUCAGUCAGCAGCCAUCAACAUCAAGGCAAGACCCUCACUGGCAAAAAGACUGUGACUCACUGAAGGCUCAGAUGAUUUUUCACAUUUUUUGGCAAUGAAAUAUUUUACAAAUAAGGCAUGUGUAGUCCCAGCACUUCGCGAGGCUGAGGCAGGUGGAUCACCUGAGGUCAGAAGUUCAAGACCAGCCUGGCCAACAUGGCAAAAAUCCAUCUCUACUAAAAAUACAAAAAUUAGCUGAACAUUAUGGCACGUGCCUGGAAUCCCCAGCUACUUGGGAGGCCGAGGCACAAGAAUUGCUUGAACCUGGGAGGUGGAGGUUGUAGUGAGCUGAGACUGGGAGACUGCACCCUAGCCUGGAUGACAGAGAGAGACUGUGUCUCGAAAUAAUAAAAAAAUAUAAGGCAUGCA